rnacentral:misc_RNA from 1 species
GAUGAAGAACGUAGCGAAAUGCGAUAAGUAGUGUGAAUUGCAGAAUUCAGUGAAUCAUCGAAUCUUUGAACGCACAUUGCGCCCUUUGGUAUUCCAAAGGGCAUGCCUGUUCGAGCGUCAUUUGUACCCUCAAGCUUUGCUUGGUGUUGGGCGUCUUGUCUCUAGCUUUGCUGGAGACUCGCCUUAAAGUAAUUGGCAGCCGGCCUACUGGUUUCGGAGCGCAGCACAAGUCGCACUCUCUAUCAGCAAAGGUCUAGCAUCCAUUAAGCCUUUUUUUUCAACUUUUGACCUCGGAUCAGGUAGGGAUACCCGCUGAACUUAAGCAUAUCAAUAAGCGGGGA